rnacentral:rRNA from 1 species
GAUGAACGCUAGCUACAGGCUUAACACAUGCAAGUCGAGGGGAAACGACAUCGAAAGCUUGCUUUUGAUGGGCGUCGACCGGCGCACGGGUGAGUAACGCGUAUCCAACCUGCCCACCACUUGGGGGAUAACCUUGCGAAAGUAAGGCUAAUACCCAAUGAUAUCCCACGAAGGCAUCCGAAUGGGAUUAAAGAUUUAUCGGUGAUGGAUGGGGAUGCGUCUGAUUAGCUUGUUGGCGGGGUAACGGCCCACCAAGGCGACGAUCAGUAGGGGUUCUGAGAGGAAGGUCCCCCCACAUUGGAACUGAGACACGGUCCAAACUCCUACGGGAGGCAGCAGUGAGGAAUAUUGGUCAAUGGGCGAGAGCCUGAACCAGCCAAGUAGCGUGCAGGAUGACGGCCCUAUGGGUUGUAAACUGCUUUUAUAAGGGAAUAAAGUGAGUCUCGUGAGACUUUUUGCAUGUACCUUAUGAAUAAGGACCGGCUAAUUCCGUG